GAUGAACGCUGGCGGCGUGCCUAAUACAUGCAAGUCGAGCGAACGGACGAGAAGCUUGCUUCUCUGAUGUUAGCGGCGGACGGGUGAGUAACACGUGGAUAACCUACCUAUAAGACUGGGAUAACUUCGGGAAACCGUAGCUAAUACCGGAUAAUAUUUUGAACCGCAUGGUUCAAAAGUGAAAGACGGUCUUGCUGUCACUUAUAGAUGGAUCCGCGCUGCAUUAGCUAGUUGGUAAGGUAACGGCUUACCAAGGCAACGAUGCAUAGCCGACCUGAGAGGGUGAUCGGCCACACUGGAACCGAGACACGGUUCAGACUCCUACGGGAGGCAGCAGUAGGGAAUCUUCCGCAAUGGGCGAAAGCCUGACGGAGCAACGCCGCGUGAGUGAUGAAGGUCUUCGGAUCGUAAAACUCUGUUAUUAGGGAAGAACAUAUGUGUAAGUAACUGUGCGCAUCUUGACGGUACCUAAUCAGAAAGCCACGGCUAACUACGUG
rnacentral:rRNA from 1 species